GCGAGUGUCGCGGGCCGUAUAUUUUGGUUGCCUCCUCCUCCGUCGGCGAAAGGCAUUAGCGGCGCGGUGGAGGCAAAGAGUUCGGCCGCGUGGCGGCGUCACGAACGUUCCGCAUUGUUUGGAUGAAUUGAAAGGCAGAAAGGCGCAAACGAUCGCUGGCGUAGAGUCCAGCUAGUAGCAGACCGCUUCUGGUCAAGAUGGAGGACGGAGCUCUUGUCUUCACUCCAAGAGCGCCGACGAUGGAGGUCGGCGAGGCCCAACGUUCAACCGGGCGACGUCGUGCUCCUGAUGGAGGAGUCUCCGAGAGGCAGCUGGCCUCUGGGCCGGAUCGUCGAGGCCGUGCCCAGCCGUGACGGCCUGGUGAGGAAGGUGAAGGUUCGCUCCGGAGGCCGGGACCUGGAGCGACCUGUGCACGGCAUCGUCGGCCUGACGCGCUGAGCGGCGUGGCCGCUGAGCGGCAUGGCCGGCGCGGCAGAGACCGGGACCUGACCGUGGCGACUCUCAGCCCGGGCGCCGAGCGGGGUGAGAUGUGAUACAGACUCGGUGAAUGGAGGACUCGAGCGCCGGAUGUGGCCGUGCGAUGACGGUCCAGGGUGGUGUCUCCAUCUGCGGGUGGCCGUCGCUAUCCGACAUCUGACUGAUCGGAGCCAGUGAGUGUACCUUUUCACCGGCAGGGAGUUGUGUCAGCCGAGACACGCACUCUGACGAUCGGACUGUGGUGUUAUGAGGAGCCACGCGCUGUGAGAACGCAUUCCUAAGUGUUACGAGGAGCCACUCGUGUUGUGAAAGGUGCAUUUUGAGUGUCAUGGGGAGUCACACGUGCUGUGAGAAGUGCUCACCUAAGCGUUAUGAGAAGUCAUGAGUCAUGCGCAGUCAUAUGCGUGGCGAUAAGUGUGUGGGGGAUGCUAGAGAAGUAAAUUUUGUUUACCAAAUUUAGAGGAGCCAUGUAACCGCGAGUGUCGCGGGCCGUAUAUUUUGGUUGCCUCCUCCUCCGUCGGCGAAAGGCAUUAGCGGCGCGGUGGAGGCAAAGAGUUCGGCCGCGUGGCGGCGUCACGAACGUUCCGCAUUGUUUGGAUGAAUUGAAAGGCAGAAAGGCGCAAACGAUGUAAGUUGGUUGAAAUGAUUAAUUUUUGCUAUGUACUGUGCAAUGAGUUAAUGGCUGACUUCAUUCUAAACGAUUUAACGACUGUUUCAUACGAUUUUCUGUUCGUUUCAGAAUUUACGGCAUAAUACAGCUAUGUCACAGAA